UGUCUUUUUUUGCGCAUGACACGCAAUCAAUACGAACUUUCUAACAACGGAUCUCUUGGCUCUCGCAUCGAUGAAGAACUGCAGCGAAAUGCGAUACAGUAAUGUGAAUUGCAGAAUUCAGUGAAUCAUCGAAUCUUUGAACGCACCUUGCGCCCCUUGGCAUUCCGAGGGGCACACCCGUUUGAGUGUCAGUGAAAUUCUCAAAACCCUUUUCUUUGGAAAGGAUUUUGGACUUGGAGCGCCUUUUGCUGGUUUCACCUCNAAACGAGCUCCUCCUAAAUGAAUCAGUGGGGUUUGCUUUGCNAAUCCUUGACGUGAUAAGUUGUUUCUACGUCUUGGAUUUUUUUUGCACUGAACACCUGCUUCUAACUGUCUCAUUGACAAUGAUGGUGCUCCGGUCACCGCCGACUCAUCNGUUGGGAGCGCUUGACCCACAAAACAAACCUUGACCUCAAAUC
rnacentral:rRNA from 1 species